GCUACCUUGCUAUGACUUUUGAGAUGUUACUCAGAUGGGUUAGUCGAAACUAAUUAUACCUAAAAAAAGCAGUUAAAUACCUAGUUAAUUUAUAAUAAAAUUAAAAAUUAAAGAAUAACUACAUUAACUAUUCAAAUAAAUAGAAAUAAAAAUAUAGAUAAUAAACCAAUAUUUUUUAUUAUUUAUAAUGUUUUACCUUAGUUAAAGAUAUACUUCGCGGCGCUUUCCCCCAAGCUGAAUUUCUCCCCAGCGACAGACGGUUAG
rnacentral:rRNA from 1 species